UACUGAAUCCAAUCAAAAAGAUGCAGCCGAAACUACACAUGUGGAUUCAGGUGAUCAUGAUCAGAAGGAUUGUGGCUCUGAUGAUUUCUACUCCGACAUACUAAAAGAUGAUAUUAUAAAUCUGGACACUGCACCUUUGGAUGGUGCUUUGGAUCCUUUACCACUGAUUUUCCAGAGAUCAGACACAGAGAGAAGAUCCCAGCAGCGAGGGAAGCGAUGGUUUCGAAUGGCUACCGAACCAAGGCUCCGCCAAUCGAAGAAUCAGAUUGAAAAAGAGAGAAGCGACUGGAGGAAAGAAGCUAGAAAGUACGAAAAUUGGUGAUUGCAGAAACAAGGUUGAGAAAGCAAGGUUGUGUUCCACAGAAGUAUGUCAAAGCCGGUUGAUGAACACUGACUCUUGUGGUAGCAUUUCGCUUGGCUACUAUGUUCGAGUUGUGAUAUUUGUUUUGUUGAUUUUGAUGGCUUUGUUUAUGUCUCGAUGGGAGGUUUUUGGUAUACCCAAGGGACUCUGCUGAUCUUCCUAUGGCAUGCUAAUUGAACCCCCUCCAACGAGGAUCGCAAGAUACGAGACAUCUUCCAUGCAGCAGAGCAAUGACUAGAGACAAGUGAUAAAGAGUAAAAUGAAGACGACAAUUGAUGAGAGAGGAAUCCAGAGAGAGAGAGUAGCAAUCAAACGUGUCGUGGAGGAGUCAUAGCGUUGGCUGGCGCAAGUAGAAUGAUGAUAGUUGAGCGAAACGAUGGUCGUAACUCGUAAAGUGGUAACAUAUAAAGUAUCACCACUCGUCUUUUAUAGAUAUCAUCUUUUCACUUCUUAAUUCUUUAAUGUGGGACAAGUGAAAUGUCCUACUACCAUGUGCCUUUGUCGUUCUCAAGUCUAAGAGUAAUGUGAGUCAUUCUCAACCAAUUUUAGUUACCUUUUUAUUUUCAGGGUUAGUUGUAUAUGACAUUUAUACCAAAAAUAAAAGAAUAUGUAACACAAGAAUAAAAUAAUUGCAUAUAUAUAACACAGAAUUGGUACAA